rnacentral:rRNA from 1 species
GACGAACGCUGGCGGCGUGCUUAACACAUGCAAGUCGAACGGAAAGGCCCUGCUUUUGUGGGGUGCUCGAGUGGCGAACGGGUGAGUAACACGUGAGUAACCUGCCCUUGACUUUGGGAUAACUUCAGGAAACUGGGGCUAAUACCGGAUAGGAGCUCCUGCUGCAUGGUGGGGGUUGGAAAGUUUCGGCGGUUGGGGAUGGACUCGCGGCUUAUCGGCUUGUUGGUGGGGUAGUGGAUUACCAAGGCUUUGACGGGUAGCCGGCCUGAGAGGGUGACCGGCCACAUUGGGACUGAGAUACGGCCCAGACGCCUACGGGAGGCAGCGGUGGGGAAUCUGGCACAAUGGGCGGACGCGUGAUGCAGAAACGCCGCGUGCGGGAUGACGGCCUUCGGGUUGUAAACCGCUUUCGCCUGUGACGAAGCGUGAGUGACGGUAAUGGGUAAAGAAGCACCGGCUAACUACGU